rnacentral:tRNA from 1 species
GCCGUCAUAGCUCAGUUGGUAGAGCGGCUGCCUUGUAAGCAGCAGGUCGAGGGUUCAAAGCCUUCUGGCGGCUCCA